CGCUGUGUUGAAAAACAGGGGACGGUGCACCGGAUUGAGCAGUGAACGAUGAAGAAAACGGCUGCGCGGAGAUGUUAUCUUGAA
rfam:Helianthus annuus linkage group 8, whole genome shotgun sequence.